rnacentral:lncRNA from 1 species
GCAAUUUCCUUUAAUUAUAUUAUUUUUUUCUUGACACUUAAACAAUGAUGAGUGAUAACAUAAUUACAUGUUUAUAUAGAAAUCUGUAUCAAAACUCAAGUAGCAUUACCUCCAAAUCGAUUUAAACUUCAUCAUAUUAUCAUCAGAACAUCAUAAUCCAAACCACUUAAUCAUUUAACGCAAUUCAAUCCUAUUUCACUUUGU